AUUGAACGCUGGCGGCAGGCCUAACACAUGCAAGUCGAGCGAGAGGCGGACGGGUGAGUAAUGUCUGGGAAACUGUCCGAUGGAGGGGGAUAACUACUGGAAACGGUAGCUAAUACAGCAUACAAUCAGGUGUGCCCAGAUGGGAGUAGCUAGUAGGUGGGGUAACGGCGCACCUAGGCGACGAUCCCUAGCUGGUCUGUGAGGAUGACCAGCAACACUGGAACUGAGACACGGUCCAGACUCCUACGGGAGGCAGCAGUGGGGAAUAUGGCACAAUGGGCGCAAGCCUGAUGCAGCCAUGCCGCGUGUGUGAAGAAGGCCUUCGGGUUGUAAAGCACUUUCAGCGGGGAGGCGUUACCCGCAGAAGAAGCACCGGCUAACUCCGUGCCAGCCGCCGCGGUAAUUC
rnacentral:rRNA from 1 species